rnacentral:rRNA from 1 species
GACGAACGCUGGCGGCGUGCUUAACACAUGCAAGUCGAACGCUGAAGCUCAGCUUUUGUUGGGUGGAUGAGUGGCGAACGGGUGAGUAACACGUGAGUAACCUGCCCCCUUCUUUGGGAUAACGCCCGGAAACGGGUGCUAAUACUGGAUAUUCACUGGUCUUCGCAUGGGGGUUGGUGGAAAGGGUUUUUCUGGUGGUGGAUGGGGUCGCGGCCUAUCAGCUUGUUGGUGGGGUGAUGGCCUACCAAGGCUUUGACGGGUAGCCGGCAUGAGAGGGUGACCGGUCACAUUGGGAAUGAGAUACGGCCCAGACUACUACGGGAGGAAGCAGUGGGGAAUAUUGCACAAUGGGCGCAAGGCUGAUGCAGCGAAGCCGCGUGAGGGAUGGAGGCCUUCGGGUUGUGAACCUCUUUCGCUCAUGGUCAAGCCGCAACAAUGGUUGUGGUGAGGGUAGUGGGUAAAGAAGCGCCGGCUAACUACGUG